rnacentral:rRNA from 1 species
CACUCUAAGCGGUGGAUCACUCGGCUCGUGUGUCGAUGAAGAGCGCAGCCAACUGCGCUAAUUAAUGUGAAUUGCAGGACACAUUGAACAUCGAAAUCUUGAACGCAUAUUGCGGCUUCGGGUGCUAAUCCUGAAGCCACGCCUGUCUCAGGGUCGUUUGAAGUUCCAUCACGAG